rnacentral:rRNA from 2 species
UAGGGAAUCUUCGGCAAUGGACGAAAGUCUGACCGAGCAACGCCGCGUGAGUGAAGAAGGUUUUCGGAUCGUAAAACUCUGUUGUUAGAGAAGAACAAGGACGUUAGUAACUGAACGUCCCCUGACGGUAUCUAACCAGAAAGCCACGGCUAACUACGUGCCAGCAGCCGCGGUAAUACGUAGGUGGCAAGCGUUGUCCGGAUUUAUUGGGCGUAAAGCGAGCGCAGGCGGUUUCUUAAGUCUGAUGUGAAAGCCCCCGGCUCAACCGGGGAGGGUCAUUGGAAACUGGGAGACUUGAGUGCAGAAGAGGAGAGUGGAAUUCCAUGUGUAGCGGUGAAAUGCGUAGAUAUAUGGAGGGACACCAGUGGCGAAGGCGGCUCUCUGGUCUGUAACUGACGCUGAGGCUCGAAAGCGUGGGGAGCAAACAGG